AGAGUAUGAUCCUGGCUCAGAACGAACGCUGGCGGCGUGCCUAACACAUGCAAGUCGAACGAGAAAGUUUCCUUCGGGAAACCAGUAAAGUGGCGCAAGGGUGAGUAACACGUGAAUAAUCUACCUAUGAAUUCGGGAUAACUCGACGAAAGUUGUGCUAAUACCGGAUAAGACCACGUCUCUUAUGUGAUGUGGCCAAAGGAGUCUCAAACUUCGUUUAUAGAUGAGUUCGCGGACCAUUAGCUUGUUGGCGGGAUAACAGCCCACCAAGGCUACGAUGGUUAGCCGGCCUGAGAGGGUGAUCGGCCACACUGGAACUGAGACACGGUCCAGACUCCUACGGGAGGCAGCAGUGGGGAAUAUUGCGCAAUGGGCGAAAGCCUGACGCAGCAACGCCGCGUGAGGGAUGAAGGAUUUUGGUUCGUAAACCUCUGUCAAGUGGGAAGAAUAAUGACGGUACCACUAAAGGAAGCCCCGGCUAACUCCGUGCCAGCAGCCGCGGUAAUACGGAGGGGGCAAGCGUUGUUCGGAAUUAUUGGGCGUAAAGAGUAUGUAGGCGGCUAGAUAAGUCAGACGUGUAAGCCCAUGGCUCAACCAUGG
rnacentral:rRNA from 1 species